rnacentral:tRNA from 1 species
GGAGAGGUGCCAGAGUCCGGUUUAUUGGAGCAGUCUUGAAAACUGUCGAGGGUCAAACCACCGCGGGUUCGAAUCCCGCCCCCUCCUCCA